UACGGGGGGGGUAAGCGUUGUUCGGAAUUACUGGGCGUAAAGGGCUCGUAGGCGGCCAACUAAGUCAGACGUGAAAUCCCUCAGCUUAACUGGGGAACUGCGUCUGAUACUGGAUGGCUUGGAUUCGGGAGAGGAAUGCGGAAUUCCAGGUGUAGCGGUGAAAUGCGUAGAUAUCUGGAGGAACACCGGUGGCGAAGGCGGCGACCUGGUCCAUUACUGACGCUGAGGCGCGACAGCGUGGGGAGCAAACAGG
rnacentral:rRNA from 1 species